UCUUAAGCAAUUAAGAUAGUGGCAAACGGGUGAGUAACGCCCUAAGUAACCUACCUCUAAGUGGGGGAUAGCUUCGGGAAACUGAAGGUAAUACCGCAUGUGAUGGGCUGACAUAAGUCGGUUCAUUAAAGCCGCAAGGUGCUUGGUGAGGGGCUUGCGUCCGAUUAGCUAGUUGGUGGGGUAAUGGCCUACCAAGGCUUCGAUCGGUAGCUGGUCUGAGAGGAUGAUCAGCCACACUGGGACUGAGACACGGCCCAGACUCCUACGGGAGGCAGCAGCAAGGAAUCUUGGGCAAUGGGCGAAAGCCUGACCCAGCAACGCCGCGUGAGGGAUGAAGGCUUUCGGGUUGUAAACCUCUUUUCACAGGG
rnacentral:rRNA from 2 species